AUUGAACGCUGGCGGCAGGCCUAACACAUGCAAGUCGAGCGAACGGCGGACGGGUGAGGAAUGUAUGGGGACUGCCCGAUAGAGGGGGAUAACUACUGGAAACCAUAGCUAAUACCGCAUACUAUCGGAUAACCCAUAUGGGAUUAGCUAGUAGGUUAGGGAAUGGCUCACCUAGUCGACGAUCCCUACCUUGUCUGAGAGGAUGAUCAGCCAUACGGGGCCUGAGACACGGCCCUGACUCCUACGGAGGCAGCAGUGGGGAAUAUUGCACAAUGGGCGCAAGCCUGAUGCAGCCAUGCCGCGUGUAUGAAGAAGGCCCUAGGGUUGUAAAGUACUUUCAGUCGGGAGGCGUUACCGACAGAAGAAGCACCGGCUAGCUCCGUGCCAGCAGCCGCGGUAAUAC
rnacentral:rRNA from 1 species